ACGUAGGGUCCGAGCGUUGCCCGGAAUUAUUGGGCGUAAAGGGCUCGUAGGCGGUUUGUCACGUCGGGUGUGAAAGCCCCGGGCUCAACCUGGGAAUUGCAUUCGAGACUGAAUAGCUAGGGUACGGUAGAGGGAAGUGGAAUUUCCGGUGUAGCGGUGAAAUGCGUAGAUAUCGGAAGGAACAUCAGUGGCGAAAGCGACUUCCUGGACCAGUACCGACGUUCAGGCACGAAAGCGUGGGGAGCAAACAGGA
rnacentral:rRNA from 1 species